CUUGGCCUCCAUACCCCAAAUCCAGAACUUCCACCAGGGCUCUCAGCCUGAGAUGUCUGUGAGGGGGACAGCCUCAUUCAUCUUUGCUCUGUAGCCUCCUAGGAGUUCUUCAGCCACCUGGUACAAGGAUUUUUUGGAGGCUUGAGCAGCUGUGGACCUAGAGAGAGGAAGGCACCUCUGAGACUUCCCUGUUUUAUGAAAACAAAUUAUUUUCAUGUGGUGUGGGAGAAAGUUGCUUUCUUCUGUCAUGAAGCCCUUCGGAGGAACAAAUAUGACCCAGUGGGUUUAUUUUUUGAUCAAUAGGAAGGAUAGCCACAUUAAGAGGAGCUUCUGCACAGCCCUGGAGUUUGAGAUGCUGGAUUUCAAAGUGGAACCCGAAGAACCAACCAAUUCAGUAAAACAUGAAAUAAAGUACACCCAUGUUCAUAGCAGUUUUAUUCAAAAAAGCCAGAAAGAUGAAAGCAACCCAAAUAUUCAUCAACAUACGAAUGAAUAAACAAAAUGUGACAUCGACAUACAAUGAAAUAUUAUGGAAUAUUAUUUAGCCUUCAAAAGAAGGCAAUUCUGACACCUAUUAUGAUAUGAAUGAACUGUGAGGACAUUAUGUUAAGUGAAAUAAACCGGUCACAAAAGUAAAAUUACUGUAUGAGUUCACUUAUGUAGGGUACUUGGAAUAACAAACUUGUAUACACAGACAGAAGGGGUAGAUUCCAAAGGCUGGUGGGUGGGGAGGAUAGUGUUUAAUGGGUAUAGAGUUCAGGUUUUACAAGAUGAAAA
ensembl:lncRNA